CGUAUCACUUAAAGUGAUUCAGCGGGUUACGAUUGACGGAGCGAAGCGACGUCAAAGCGUAUACAAAGUCGAGUCGGUUUAAGGAUACGUUCGUUGGGUAGGGGAGCGUUCUGUAAGCCUGUGAAGGUGGCCUGUGAGGGUUGCUGGAGGUAUCAGAAGUGCGAAUGCUGACAUAAGUAACGAUAAAGCGGGUGAAAAGCCCGCUCGCCGGAAGAGCAAGGGUUCCUGUCCAACGUUAAUCGGGGCAGGGUGAGUCGACCCCUAAGGCGAGGCCGAAAGGCGUAGUCGAUGGGAAACGGGUUAAUAUUCCCGUACUUGGUGUUACUGCGAAGGGGGGACGGAGAAGGCUAUGUUGGCCGGGCGACGGUUGUCCCGGUUUAAGCGUGUAGGCUGGUUUUCCAGGCAAAUCCGGAAAAUCAAGGCUGAGGCGUGACGACGAGGCACUACGGUGCUGAAGCAACAAAUGCCCUGCUUCCAGGAAAAGCCUCUAAGCAUCAGGUAACACGAAAUCGUACCCCAAACCGACACAGGUGGUCAGGUAGAGAAUACCAAGGCGCUUGAGAGAACUCGGGUGAAGGAACUAGGCAAAAUGGUGCCGUAACUUCGGGAGAAGGCACGCUGAUAUGUAGGUGAAGCGGUUUACCCGUGGAGCUGAAAUCAGUCGAAGAUACCAGCUGGCUGCAACUGUUUAUUAAAAACACAGCACUGUGCAAACACGAAAGUGGACGUAUACGGUGUGACGCCUGCCCGGUGCCGGAAGGUUAAUUGAUGGGGUCAGCGCAAGCGAAGCUCCUGAUCGAAGCCCCGGUAAACGGCGGCCGUAACUAUAACGGUCCUAAGGUAGCGAAAUUCCUUGUCGGGUAAGUUCCGACCUGCACGAAUGGCGUAAUGAUGGCCAGGCUGUCUCCACCCGAGACUCAGUGAAAUUGAACUCGCUGUGAAGAUGCAGUGUACCCGCGGCAAGACGGAAAGACCCCGUGAACCUUUACUAUAGCUUGACACUGAACAUUGAGCCUUGAUGUGUAGGAUAGGUGGGAGGCUUUGAAGCGUGGACGCCAGUCUGCGUGGAGCCGACCUUGAAAUACCACCCUUUAAUGUUUGAUGUUCUAACGU
rnacentral:rRNA from 1 species